rnacentral:lncRNA from 10 species
UUUUUUUAGAUUGGCUUUUAGAAAAGAUAAAAUAAGGCAUGAUUUUCUUGUUAAAGUUCAUAUUAGUCUAUUUAUUGUUUAUCUCCUUUUUAUAAAAUAAAUUACUUUUAAACACCCCUGCUAAUAUUUCAGGAUAUUAUUCACUUACGUAGAGGUAGUUGUGUUCCCAUUUUGCUUCUGUUCCAUUUCCUGGUGUUAUUCAUGUGUGAAGAGAAUCUUUUUGGCUGGGUUGGCCUGCCUCAAAGCUGCUCCAAACUUAUAAUUCACCAAAAGUGACAUCAUCCCAGCCACCACCAAAGAAUUAUGAUUGGAGUCGAGGCAUUGCCCAUGGAACACAUAACUCUGCAGUGGUUUCCCCUACAAAAUGUCAGCCACUCUUACGAUGGAAUGUGCCCUUGCCUGCUGUGGGCACCGCUCAAAUCUAACCCAUCAUUUUUCUUUUCAUUUUGAUUCACUUUUCCUUUCAGAGAUUCAAACAAAAAGAAAAAUGGGAACUGAAAAAAUUUGGGGUUUUUGAGGGGUGAGGGAGAGACCUUAUGGUAGAAAAUAAAGUGUUUUUUUUGAUAUCUGAAAUUUUAUAUGCUCAAUUUAAAUGUUUUAUUGCGUUUGUUUUUUCCAACCUGUGGAAACCCCUUAAAUUCUUACUGAAUGCAUAGAUCUUUUAUUUGCAUGAAUGUCCUGUAUGCCGGAAGACUAAGUGGGAGCACUGAAUGCUUUGAAGUUCUGUGCCUGUGAGACUUGGGUAUUUUAAUACAUUGUUACCCUAUUGCAUCAAAUCACGCCUAGGGAUGCAUUCAAUAAAGACUGCCCCCUCCCCGCUUAGCUGCGCUGGGACUCCCUUCUGGAGGGCCAGAGUUUCUACUUUGUUUCUACUUUGACUCCUAAAAUGAGGACUGAAGGGAAAGCAGAUGGCAUUUUGUACCUCUGACAAUGAAGCCUAAAUUGUUUACGUUGGAGAGGGAGUGGGAGAUAAGCUAAAGAAUGUGAUUUGUCUUCCAUUUGAAGAUACCAGGGAAAAGUCUUGUCAAGUAGCAGGCCACCGGUGUCUAGUGUAGAGGAGACGAUUUCUGUCGAUAGAGAGCAAAGCCAGCCAGGCAAACGAACCCGUAAGCCGCCUGAGGGACAGACAGGCAUAAAACCUAAUGAAUGGGUAGGUAGACUUUGGGCAAGGCUAAUUGCAGCAAGCUGUGUUCAGUUCCCCGGCCUCUGUUAAGUAGUCAUUUUUAUACAAUCUGUCGGAGGGAAGAGGAAAUAGACCCACACGGUAAAUGAACUUGUGGUGUUUAGCUAGGAAGUGGAGUUUGCUCUAAGUAGCUCUGGUAGCAGACUCCAGGGAGCACAUGGCAGGCGGACUCAUCUGAGUAUCUGUGCUGAGGAGUUGUGUUAAACUGUUGAAACACUUAGAAAUUGCUAUAGAAAAAGAGUACUCCCAAAGUUGCCAGCUAAUAUGGUACCGAAUUUCCUGAAAGACCUUUCUUUUGCCAUGUGGUUUUUCUAUAAAGCUGAGUCAAUUAGGCUUCUUUAUCUCCCUGUCCUUGGCAAUAAAACGACAAAAGCCGAGGGUUGAACAGGUAGACACUGUUAUCUCACUGAAUCUUCACCGCUGCCCUAUGAGGUGGCUAUUGUUACUCUCCCCAUUCUAUAGAUGAGGACACUGAGCCACAGAUUGGUUGAGUAACUUGCUCAGGCUCACACAACUAGCAGGUGAUAACAGCUGAGGUGAAAGAACAUUUUUUCUGGGAAGAUACAGGGUGUUUAAAGGUACCUGUUUAGUGCACAGCAAGUUGCAGUACUUUUAAAUUGGAGACUGGAAUAUGUAAGUAGAUGUUUGAAUCUCUCUCUGUCUUUCAGUGUUACAGGUGAAUCAACAAAAUUAGAAUAUCUUUCUAUUUAGUGACUGAAGAAGGCGGUCCAUGCAUAUAUCAGAUCUAGUUUGGAGUCACAGACUAGAUUCUGGACCAGAGAUGAAAGAUAUGCUUUGGGUACCUCUUUUUGAUUAAAUGUAGUUUUUAAAAUAGUGACUUGACUAUACCUCAAGGAGUCUUCAUAAUCUUCUGCAUGGGUAUUUAUAGGCAAUAAUGCUAAAGAAGACAGUGCCAGUACAAGUGAAAUGAUAACAUGAUUGCAGUGUUACGGCUUUUGUUGAUGAAUUAUUUGAACUGGGAGGAAAAACACUUUGAGAACUAAAUUUAAAGUAAUUCUUCCGAUAUUAUCAGUAAGACCUAAAGAUGGUUGCUUUUAGAGGACCUAAAUGUAUUAAAUUCCUGAUUUAGCAUGCUUAUAGCAAGGCUUCAAAUAUGUUUAAUUCUACCAGCUUCUUGAGCUUCUUAAGGAGAGUCAUAGAAUCAUAGGGAAUUAAAAUGAAUGUUAGAAAUCUGUAUCUCCUCUGACUUGACUGGAUCACACCUAGAGCAACCCAAAUGAAAAAUGUACCUUGUUUUAAAGCUCUCCAGGGAAAAAUAUUCUAAAACUUCCCCUGAUAACUUACUCCAAUGCAUAGUAACCCUGAGACUUAAUAUUUACAAAUUGGUUUCUUAUAUAUGGAUGAAAGGAACUCUAAAUGUAUCGUAUUAUAAAAGGUAUGCAUUACAUAAAGGACCUUUUAUACAGGAAAAAAAGUAUUUAGAUGAAAAAACUUCUUAAUUAUGGAGGUACAUCUACAAUACCUAAAAUUAAAAAUAAAAUGAAGUGCAUUUUCCUCCUAAGAUUUUCUCAUCAACCCCGAGAACCACUGCUGGAAAUUACCUGAAGAAGAAAUCUUACCUUGCUCUGUAUCUUUAGGAAAUGUUUUACCUAAUUUUAGAAGGAGGGGAAAAGAACGAUAACAUCACAGACACACACACACACACACACACACACACACACGACACAAACACAGGCACACACUGUAGUUUCCUAAGCAGUUUGUUCUAAUUCUUCACAUCCCCCUGUCAAAAUGUUUGCUUAUAGCUUUCUUUGUAUUGUCAUUUAAGCCCAUUUCUAAUUGGUGAUUGUUGGAAAUUGAAUAAAUGUGUUCAGUUUUUCAU